AGUGUGUUGAGAGCAGAGAAAUGAUUUCCAUAGAGAGGAGGCUUUGCAUGGUCAGCUGAUCCUCCAGUGAAGUGAGAAGGUUUAUAGUCCUGUGAGUUCAACACUGCAGGACUCAGAUGUGUCAGUCAACACAGCAGAAAGCACAAGCACCAUGACUCUCAUCACCAUCCUCAUCUGGACGCUGGCCUGCUGCUGUUUCACAGGAUGCAGCGCUCAGGUGACUGUGACUCAGCCUCCAGUGGUGACAUUUACUCCAGGAUCCACUGUCACUCUCACCUGUAAGACCAGCCAACCUGUUUACAGAUACUCUAGUUAUGGAGAUUGUAUGUACUGGUAUCAACAGAAAUCUGGACAGCCUCCAAAGCUCCUAAUAAAAUUUGUGAGCACACGUGAAUCAGGAACACCAGCUCGGUUUAGUGGCAGUGGAAGCAGCUCUGACUUCACUUUGACCAUCAGUGGAGUUCAGACUGAAGAUGCAGCAGUUUAUUACUGUCAGAGUCCACACAACAUAAACAGUGCUUGGGUGUUCACACAGUGAUUUAUCGUCGUACAA